AACGAACGCUGGCGGCGCGUCUUAAACAUGCAAGUCGAACGAUCUGUAGCAAUACAGGGAGUGGCGGACGGGUGAGGAACACGUAGGAAUCUACCUUGAAGAGCGGGACAACUUUGGGAAACCGGGGCUAAUACCGCAUAGUACAGAGAUGUUAAAGGGCUAGCAAUAGUCGCUUCGAGAUGAGCCUGCGGUCUAUCAGCUUGUUGGUGAGGUAAUGGCUCACCAAGGCUACGACGGAUAGCCGGUCUGAGAGGAUGAUCGGCCACACUGGCACUGAGACACGGGCCAGACUCCUACGGGAGGCAGCAGUUAAGAAUCUUGCGCAAUGGGGGAAACCCUGACGCAGCGACGCUGCGUGAAGGAUGAAGGCUUUCGGGUUGUAAACUUCGGUAGUACU
rnacentral:rRNA from 1 species